rnacentral:tRNA from 1 species
UCAAGGGUAAGCUAAUUUAAGCUGUUGGGCUCAUAACCCAAAAAUGACGGAAAUCUCCCCUUGAA